UCGAAGACGAAAGUUGUUCAUGCUAGACGUACUGAACUCAAAUACAAUCUUUCUUUUCAGAUGACCAUGAUACACGUCAUAACAAGCGUGACGUCAGAGGCAGGACCAUCAGGAGCAACGGGAUAAGUCCCGAUCUCUACUACCCUUGCGAGUUCGAGGAUGACGUAGACUGCGUCAGGAGUUACCUGGCCAGUACCACACAGUGCAAGGAAAUGCAUAACUAUGGCAACAAGCCUUUCUAUAGAGACUUGUUGGAUACGAUAGUGCCAACCGUCAAUUUUACUCUUUUAAUGACGAGGACUCGUAUCAUCUUCUCUGGCGAUAGAAUUAGCAGCUUUUAUAUAAAUAAGACAUCUAACAACCUCGUGAUGGCUAUAGACUUUGACAGUAUCAGGAUCGAAUCCAGGAACGCCCACUUUAUUUUCCACCGCAGGGGACAAGAGCCUGUUACGAUUACUGACCGUGCUAAUGGAACUUUUGGUAUAACUCUAACUGCUGUGAUUCCUCUGAGCAAAGACAUCCAAUUUUCCAGAGUGACACCCUACAUAUCGUCGUUUGCUUUUGGGAUAG